rnacentral:rRNA from 1 species
UAGCCGUAAACGAUACUCGCUAGGUGUCGGCCACGGUGCGACCGUUGUCGGUGCCGUAGGGAAGCCGUGAAGCGAGCCACCUGGGAAGUACGGCCGCAAGGCUGAAACUUAAAGGAAUUGGCGGGGGAGCACAACAACGGGUGGAGCUUGCGGUUUAAUUGGAUUCAACGCCGGAAAUCUUACCGGGACCGACAGCAACAUGAAGGCCAAGCUGAAGACUUUGCCGGAUUAGCUGAGAGGAGGUGCAUGGGCGUAGUCGUGU